rnacentral:rRNA from 1 species
UACGGGGGGGGCAAGCGUUGUUCGGAAUUACUGGGCGUAAAGGGCUCGUAGGCGGCCAACUAAGUCAUACGUGAAAUCCCUCGGCUUAACUGGGGAACUGCGUCUGAUACUGGAUGGCUUGAGUGUGGGAGAGGAAUGCGGAAUUCCAGGUGUAGCGGUGAAAUGCGUAGAUAUCUGGAGGAACACCGGUGGCGAAGGCGGCAUUCUGGACCAUAACUGACACUGAGAGACGAAAGCCAGGGGAGCAAACGGG